CGGGGUGCAGCAGGCGCGAAAACUCUACAAUGCCGGCAACGGCGAUAAGGGAACCUCGAGUGCCAGGUUACAAAUCUGGCUGUCGUGAUGCCUAAAAAGCAUUGCAUAGCAAGGGCCGGGCAAGACCGGUGCCAGCCGCCGCGGUAACACCGGCGGCUCGAGUGGUAACCGUUAUUAUUGGGUCUAAAGGGUCUGUAGCCGGCCGGAUAAGUCUCUUGGGAAAUCUGGCAGCUUAACUGUCAGGCUUUCAGGAGAUACUGUCUGGCUCGAGGCCGGGAGAGGUGAGAGGUACUUCAGGGGUAGGGGUGAAAUCUUGUAAUCCUUGAAGGACCACCAGUGGCGAAGGCGUCUCACCAGAACGGACCUGACGGCAAGGGACGAAAGCUAGGGGCACGAACCGGAUUAGAUACCCGGGUAGUCCUAGCCGUAAACGAUACUCGCUAGGUGUCGGCCACGGUGCGACCGUGGUCGGUGCCGUAGGGAAGCCGUGAAGCGAGCCACCUGGGAAGUACGGCCGCAAGGCUGAAACUUAAAGGAAUUGGCGGG
rnacentral:rRNA from 1 species